CAGAAUCAAUCCUUGAACACUGCCUCCACGUCGCCGGCUCAAUCUGGGCGAGAACCCAGACUUCCACCGCAGCCCCGCAAUCUGCAGACCUCAGCGGCAGCGCAGGUGGCAGACCUGCCUCCUUUGCCUGUGAGUCAUGGCAGCUCCCAUGAAUGGCCAAGUGUGUGUGGUGACUGGUGCCUCCAGGGGUAUUGGCCGUGGCAUUGCCUUGCAGCUCUGCAAAGCAGGCGCCACAGUUUACAUCACUGGCCGCCAUCUGGACACCCUUCGCGUUGUUGCUCAGGAGGCACAAUCCCUCGGGGGCCAAUGUGUGCCUGUGGUGUGCGAUUCAAGCCAGGAGAGUGAAGUGCGAAGCCUGUUUGAGCAAGUGGAUCGGGAACAGCAAGGGCGUCUAGAUGUGCUGGUCAACAAUGCUUAUGCAGGGGUCCAGACGAUCCUGAACACCAGGAAUAAGGCAUUCUGGGAAACCCCUGCCUCCAUGUGGGAUGAUAUCAACAACGUCGGACUCAGUGUGACAAGCUGGCUGCUGACUGUGCCCACGAGCUGCGGCGCCAUGGGGUCAGCUGUGUGUCUCUGUGGCCGGGGAUUGUGCAGACAGAACUGCUGAAGGAGCAUAUGGCAAAGGAGGA
rnacentral:misc_RNA from 1 species